UCGGGACUAUGUCGCGUGCGCGGAGCCACCUGCGCGCCGCUCUAUUCCUGGCAGCGGCGUCUGCGCGCGGCGUAACGACCCAGGUCGCGGCGCGGCGGGGCUUGAGCGCGUGGCCGGUGCCGCAGGAGCCCAGCAUGGAGUACCAGCUCUCCCCACCUGGUGCAGGUUCGGGAGCGGAUCCGCAUCAAUGGGCAGCCCAUCAGUCCUGAGCUCUUCACCAAGUACUUCUGGCACCUCUACCACCGGCUGGAAGAGACCAAGGAUGGCAGCUGUGUCUCCAUGCCCCCCUACUUCCGCUUCCUGACACUCAUGGCCUUCCACGUCUUCCUCCAAGAGAAGGUGGACCUGGCAGUGGUGGAGGUGGGCAUUGGCGGGGCUUAUGACUGCACCAACAUCAUCAGGAAGCCUGUGGUGUGUGGAGUCUCCUCUCUUGGCAUCGACCACACCAGCCUCCUGGGGGAUACGGUGGAGAAGAUCGCAUGGCAGAAAGGGGGCAUCUUUAAG
rnacentral:sRNA from 1 species